AUUUGUACCAGUAAACAUGUUAUUACGUUGAUGUUUUCAGUCUUGUUACCUCUUCUCCCUGGGCAUUAAAAAGGCACAGAGAACACAAGGGAACUGGGAAUUAUUAAGAAUAACAUUUUUUUUCUUUACAGUUGAGGUCAAAAUGGCCUCUCCACACAGAGUUUUGUGCUUGGAGACCCUGAGUCCAUCCAUCACAAAUAUCAACGUCCCCAUCUUAGGAUCGGUGACACAACGAGCGAUGGACAUCAAAAGGGAAAUAGAGGAGG